GGACUUGUAGCAUAACGGAUAGUGCACCUGACUACGGAUCAGGAGGUUGGGGGUUCGAAUCCCUCCAAGUUCA
rnacentral:tRNA from 1 species